UACGAAGGGGGCUAGCGUUGUUCGGAAUUACUGAGCGUAAAGCGUGCGCAGGCGGCUUCUCAAGUCAGGGGUGAAAGCCCAGAGCUCAACUCUGGAAUUGCCUUUGAGACUGAGUGGCUUGAGUACGGGAGAGGUGAGUGGAAUUCCCAGUGUAGAGGUGAAAUUCGUAGAUAUUGGGAAGAACACCGGUGGCGAAGGCGGCUCACUGGCCCGGUACUGACGCUGAGGCACGAAAGCGUGGGGAGCAAACAGG
rnacentral:rRNA from 1 species